CCGUGUGCUAGGGGGAGAGCUGGUCAUCAAAAGCAGCUUAGGGUUUAGCAGCCAGUGAUUUUAAGGUGCCUUGAUCCAUAUUUCCUCCAGCUGGGCCCUCCCUUCUGCACUGUAUGUCAAGGGAAAUGCAGUACGGAAACCGGCCCGUUGUUUAGAGACGAAAGGUUGCAGAUGGCUGUACAUGUAGUGAGCAGGAACAGCAGAGAGCUCCUUUCUCCAUGCAGAUACAAAGCAGAAGAACAAACAAGGAGGCCUACUAAGAGAUCUCCUGCUCUGGAGCCGGGACACGAGAUGUGCUUUGAAGAUGGGCUAGGUUCCUGGAGUCGGUGGGCAAGACUCCAGUGUUGAGAGUGUGACUGGGCAUUAACAACAGUGAUUUCCAGAAUGCCUCAUGGAUUACACAGGACUUCAAGAAACUUGGGAGGAUGCUGAGCAAUGCCCAAGUCAUCUUCUUGGAGAGCCAUCAUUUCCUGUGAGUGAAGGAAGAUAGAGGGAGCAGAGAUUCAACUAUUUUGGAAACUUUACAUGUAAGCAGAGCUUCCCAUCAAAAUCCAAACUGCCACUAUCUUCAUCUCCUUUAAACCUCCUGUACCAUAAUGCCUACAAGGUCACUGCUAUCUUGUGGUGGUCCGUUCAGUGGCCACCAACGACAACCGAGACCUACUUGAAUUUAAUAUUAUCAUGUCUUCCAGAGCCAAACUUAUAUUGAGCUUUUUUAUUAACUGUUAGGAAUGAUCAAAAUCCUAAA